rnacentral:rRNA from 1 species
CAGUAGCCGCGGUAAUACGUAGGGGGCAAGCGUUGUCCGGAAUUAUUGGGCGUAAAGCGCGCGCAGGCGGUCAUGUAAGUCUGGUGUUUAAUCCCGGGGCUCAACCCCGGAUCGCACUGGAAACUGGGUGACUUGAGUGCAGAAGAGGAGAGUGGAAUUCCACGUGUAGCGGUGAAAUGCGUAGAGAUGUGGAGGAACACCAGUGGCGAAGGCGACUCUCUGGGCUGUAACUGACGCUGAGGCGCGAAAGCGUGGGGAGCAAACAGGAUUAGAUACCCGCGUAGUCCCUGUCUCUUAUACA